AGCUUUUUGUAAUAAGAGCAUUUUGUCUAAUCCCAAAUUGCAGUUGAAUUUUCUUAAUGCUGAGCUGGUAAAGCCUGGGAUUAGAGGAGAGGAGAGGAGGGGAGGAGGGGGGAGAAAAGUUUGCUCCCUUCAGCCGGGAGGAUUGGAAGAAGCGCGGAUCUGCAGGGAUGUUGUCGGUAUUAAAACGGUGAGGCAUAAACCUGAGAGCGGUUUGUUGCAGGGAGAGCCGGAGCGGAGCUACGGAGGCCGAGCAGCACCUGCGAGGAAGGAAAGGAGGGAAGGAAGGAAGGAAAGGAAGCCAGGCUCCUAAAGACCAGGCGCUUUUUACACAGCGCGGAAAAGGAGAAUGGAUCCAGAUGUUUUUCACUCUUUCUGUAGCACCUGGAUUAUUCAUAAGAUCCCUAUAAUCAAUGAGUUAAUCUGCAGAGCGUCCGCUCCAGGUGCUCGUCCUCCGCCUCGGCCCUGCCAACCACAAACAUCAAAACAUCACAAGUCUGGAAGGGGCUUUAUGGGACAUGGAGAGAGAGGGAAGGUGGGGGGACACAGGUAACGCUGUUGUUGCCACGGCAGCCUCGUGCCAGGGGCCACGCUCUGACCUUUCACCCCUGCUGGCACCGUGGAUCUGGAGGAGAUCCCUGAUGCUCCUCCUGCAGGCCGGCUCUGGGACGUCUGUGAAAAAAAGCCGCUCUCUGUGGGACAUUUCUGUCUGUGACUCACUCUUUUUCCUGGGCGUCCAGAUCCCUGACCAGCGCGUCCCGUUUGUUGACCAGUAUGACCAGUUCAUCCAGCAGCAGCUGCUCUCGUCUCUUCUGGGCUUCAGUUUUCUGCCAGUCUGCAAACAAGAACAAAAAAACAGAGGAACCUUGAGACUCUGACACCAGGAUAUUUGGAAAACUCUAAAAACUCUAUAAAUCAGCAUCUUUAGUGUGACUUUAGGGCCAUUUUCUAGCAGAACGGGUGUGUGUGCCGACAAUUACAUGCAUGGAUCGCCCGUUCCCACAGGACCAUGCUGCCACUGAAAACCUUUGAUGUUAUCACGCCACUUUAUGAUUAAACAUCCGUUAAAAUAAAUGUUCUAUGGAGAAA